UUUAGGUCUUCAAAAUCCAGGCCAGGAGUCUCAGCAGAAUUGAUUGUGGCAGAAUGGCCUUUUUCAUGUCCCAGGACCUGAGAAGGGGCCUGCUGUAUUUAACCAACAUUUGGCAUCACAAUCCAGCAUUUAUGUCUAUUCCUUUCCCUGCUGGAUAUGUCAAAUGCUUGCCACUUGCACUGGGGAAAAAGGUACAAAUAAAAUAAUAUGCUGUUUUGUAGAGAAGUUGUGAUACUCUAGAAUGUCAGAAAACUCUUAAUUAGAGGUAGAAUUAAUUAUACCUGCAUAUAUAACCUAUUAAUUAUAG
rnacentral:lncRNA from 1 species